UACAGAGGUCUCAAGCGUUGUUCGGAUUCAUUGGGCGUAAAGGGUGCGUAGGUGGCGCCAUAAGUCAGGUGUGAAAUCUCGGGGCUCAACCCCGAAGCUGCACUUGAUACUGUGGUGCUCGAGUACUGGAGAGGAGAUUGGAAUUUACGGUGUAGCAGUGAAAUGCGUAGAUAUCGUAAGGAAGACCAGUGGCGAAGGCGAAUCUCUGGACAGUUACUGACACUGAGGCACGAAGGCCAGGGGAGCAAACGGG
rnacentral:rRNA from 1 species